AGAUUGAACGCUGGCGGCAGGCCUAACACAUGCAAGUCGAGCGGUAGAGAGGUGCUUGCAUCUCUUGAGAGCGGCGGACGGGUGAGUAAUGCCUAGGAAUCUGCCUAGUGGUGGGGGAUAACGUUCGGAAACGGACGCUAAUACCGCAUACGUCCUACGGGAGAAAGCGGGGGGAUCUUCGGACCUCGCGCCAUUAGAUGAGCCUAGGUCGGAUUAGCUAGUUGGUGAGGUAAUGGCUCACCAAGGCGACGAUCCGUAACUGGUCUGAGAGGAUGAUCAGUCACACUGGAACUGAGACACGGUCCAGACUCCUACGGGAGGCAGCAGUGGGGAAUAUUGGACAAUGGGCGAAAGCCUGAUCCAGCCAUGCCGCGUGUGUGAAGAAGGUCUUCGGAUUGUAAAGCACUUUAAGUUGGGAGGAAGGGUAGUAACCUAAUACGUCGCUACUUUGACGUUACCGACAGAAUAAGCACCGGCUAACUUCGUG
rnacentral:rRNA from 1 species